AGCGAACGCUAGCGGCGGGCCUAACACAUGCAAGUCGAGCGCAUACCUUCGGGUAUGAGCGGCGGACGGGUGAGUAACACGUAGGUAAUCUACCCUUUGGUGGGGAAUAACCCGGGGAAACUCGGGCUAAUGCCGCACGAGGUCUACGGAUCAAAGCCUUCGGGCGCCAGAGGAUGAGCCUGCGUUGCAUUACCUAGUUGGCGGGGUAACGGCCCACCAAGGGGACGAUGCAUAGCUGGUCUGAGAGGAUGAUCAGCCACACUGGGACUGAGACACGGCCCAGACUCCUACGGGAGGCAGCAGUGGGGAAUAUUGCGCAAUGGGGGAAACCCUGACGCAGCUACGCCGCGUGGGUGAUGAAGGCCUUCGGGUUGUAAGCCCUGUCGGGAGGGACGAAUUCUGACGGUACCUCCCAAGAAAGCACCGGCUAACUCCGUGCCAGCAGCCGCGGUAAU
rnacentral:rRNA from 1 species